GAGGUGAUGUUAGACAUCGACUAUAAAAAAGAGAUAUAAAAUAGCUUUCCUGACUAGAUAUCUUCUGAAGAUUUUUAUAUGGAAUAGCGAUUUCACUUCUUGUGAUACGAGAUCACAAAAUCUGUAAUAAUCUUAGAAUUGGAAUAUUCAUCUCGAUGAUUCGAUCAAAUUGUUUGAUCAGAAAUGAAGAAUUAUAAAUUUUCAAA
rnacentral:lncRNA from 1 species